GUGAGUCAAUACUCCUUAAUAAACUCUCUUUCAUAUAUACAUCACCCUAUUAGUCCUGUCGCUCUAGAGAACCCUAAUACAUUAUCACAUCCCUUAGCAAAUAGACUGUUAGUGCAUGUAAGAAUAAAAUAAGAAUAAUUGCUAACAUUUAUUUAGUGCCUACAUGGGAUAGGCAUCAUUCUAAGCAGUUUACAUGUAGACUUAUUUAAUUCUCAUAAUACACAUGUUGAAUAGAAACUAUUGGCCUGGAAUGGUGGCUCUCGCCUGUAAUACCAGCAGUUUGGGAGGCCGAGACAGGUGGAUCACCUGAGGUCAAGAAUUCAAGACCAGCCUGGCCAUGAUGGUGAAACCCCCAUCUCUACAAAAAUACAAAAAUUAGCCAGGCAUGAAGGUGGGUGCCUGUAAUCCCAGCUACUUGAGAGGCUGAGGUGGAAGAAUCAUUCGAACCCGGGAAGGGGAGGUUGCAGUGAGCCGAGAUCGCCCCACUGCACUCCAGCCUGGGUGAUAGAGAGAAACUCCAUCUGAAAAAAAAAAAAAAAGAAACUAUUGACAAGGAUCUUUUUUUUGCAGAGGAAAGAGAGAUAAAGAAAUACCUACAUAAACACAUAUACAUAUACAACUUAUAUGUAUAAACACAAAUAUACAUCAUGGAUCUAGAUACUUUAUUGAUUCAUAUACUUAAUAACUUUCAACACUAAUAAAUUGGACACUUACGUAGCUGCAUUGAUAAACACACAAUGCAGAUCAUAGGUGGCUCUAUGCUCUCUGUGCCCUGUCAUGGUCUAUGCGAGAGUUUUUAGUCCUGGUGUCAUAUUGACAUUCAAGACAUUUAAGGUCCUGGAAUGUGAGCCACAUGAUGAGAUAAUUUGAGGAUGGACAGUUUGCAGAAGAGAAUACCCUUUGUUCAAAUAUCUAAACAGCUGUCAUGAACAAGAGCGAUUAGAUUCAUUUUGCUUGACCCAGGAGGUGCAAAACUGAGACUAAUGGAUGGGAGCUUCAGGGAGGGAGAAUGUUGCUCAGCCCAAGGAAGGAUUUCUGGCAAGAAAGGUCUAUGCCGCUAGAUCUUGUGCUCCUGGGAAUAGAAAGCUUUGGCUCCCUUCCAGCAUGGAAACUCAGACUAUAUGUCCAUUUACUAGGUAGUAUCAUAUUUCACAGGAUACUUCUGCUUUGAGUAAGAGAGGGUAUUACAGGACCACCAUGAUCUCUUUUAUGUAUACAUUUUAGUGGAAAUUGUAACAAGUCUAGUUAAAAUGACAUAUGCCUUGGAAAAAAAGUUUAUUUCUACUAAUGUUAAAACUACUAUGACUAUCACUGCCAAUGCUACUAUAAUUACUAUUAAUGGUCAUAUGAUAAAUAAUGUUUGCAGGGCAGCUACUGUAUACUAGGUACAUAUUCCCUCUGCUAGUUUGCAUUUUGCAUAUACCAUGUCAUUUAACCUGCACAGCAAUUCUGAGUGGUUGGUGUCAUCGAUCUCUUUUUGCAGUUUCAGGGAACUGAGGCUCUAGGAGGUGAAGCCAUCUACUCAUGGUUAGCCAGAUAGUAACACUCAGAUCUAUGUGUGUCUGGCCACAAAAUCAGUUCUCUUUCUGUUUUACAGAGCCAUAGGAAGAGAGGGUAGGAAGAGAGGAGAGGAGAGGAGAGGAGAUGAGAGGAGAGGACAUAUAAUAGAUAAUCCUAGGCUUAAGUCAGAUUUAUUUUGGGAAAAUAUGAGACUCAGUUACUGAAAUAUUCUAAUUUUUUAUAUAUCAAGCUAUACAUUACUGAUUAUAUAGUUUGCAAUUAUUGAUGACAGAUUCACUAGUUUGAUUCUUUCUUUGUUGAUCUCAUUCUUCCUGAGGUUGUUUCAUCCUUCAUAGGAAGAGCUACUACUUCACAAUUGCAUGAGAAGAGAUCAAUUUAUAUGUAUGGCUCAUACACAUCUCAAAAGGAGAAAUCAAGAGGGACUUAGGUAUGACCUACCACUACUAUGAAGCCUUUACUGAAUUCGCUGGUUCCUGAGGUUUCUUCUCAAGCUUCUGUAGAAGCUAUCCUCUGCACCACAACAUCAGAUCCUGAAUCAUGUGCUAUCAAUACUACUGGAUUUUCUGUUUUUCUGUGCCUGCUUUUCUUUCCUGUGUAGGUGGACAGAAAUGCACAUGGGUUGCAGUAUCUAGGGAAAUGCCAACUGAGGGUUCUUCAGGCCUAUUACAGACUAACAUAACUUUGAAGAGCAUAGUGAAUUCCAAUAUCUAAUCUUCAUCUUUGCAAGACCAAGAAUUCACUCUUGUCUGAGUCCUAGAAAUGAUUAUUGAUUCGAACAUUAAUUAUAUUUUCCUAACGUUUGAGUCGUCUCAAUGUUAAGUGGAGACAAUCUGGACAAAACAGAAGCUUUCUGCUCCACCUACUUGUAAGGCAAUGAGGGCAAUCACUCAACAGAAUUCCUCCUAAGAGGAACCCUGAGAGUGUUUGGAAGAAAUAAAUACUAUGCAGAAUGGAUGGUGACCAUCAAGAAAAAACUUCAGCGGAAAAAGAUGGCUCCCAGAUUUCUUUCUCAAGGAAACCAGAGCUCCAGGAGAAUGUUUUGUUUGACUGAGUACUUUGCUGGGCCAGAAGAUGAAAAAUUGGGACCAGGCAUGGUGGCUCACUCCUGUAAUCCCAGCACUUUGGGAGGCUGAGGCAGGCGGAUCAUGAGGUCAGGAGAUCGAGACCAUCCUGGCUAACACGGUAAAACCGUGUUUCUACUAAAAAUACAAAAAAUUAGCCAGGCGUGGUGGCGGCGGGCACCUAUAGUCCCAGCUACUCAGGAGGCUGAGGCAGGAGAAUGGCGUGAACCUGGGAGGCAGAGCUUGCAGUGAGCAGAGAUCGCACCACUGCACUCCAGCCUGGGCGACAGAGUGAGACUACAUCUCAAAAAAUAAUAAUAAUAAAAUAAAAUUGGAAGUCAGAGUCAAGGUAGAGCUAAACUGUAUUAGGCCGUUACAGUGCACAACUCCAGGUGCCGUCACUGGCAUUAAAGCCAGGAAGCAAUUGUGGAAAAGGGGAAUGUCUAAUGGUACCUAUCUCUAUGAGGUAAUAUAAGAUCUCUAUUUUUCUGGCAUACGCUUUCAGUAAUUUUAUCAUGUUUGAUAAUUCUUUUGUGACACUGGAUUGAUUUUGGGUGAUAGAAUGUUAAAAAAGGGCUGAGUUAUGAAUCUGAGUUACCACAGGUGAACGCAGGUACUUUUCCUGCAGCUUACCAGCUGAAAGAAAAGAGAAUAUUUGGGUUUCAUAUGAUUAUGGGAUACUGAUGUCUAAUUUGGGGGGGUUGUUAAGAUACUUAAACAAAAAGAAAUUAUAAACUGUAUGGAAAUUGUAGAAGCUCGACGUGUGUUUACUAUCUUCUUACAGGAAAGCCGAGUGAUACGGACUACUCAUAAGAAACUAAACAAGAUCAUCAAGUUGGUAACAAUGAGGGGUGUGUGUGUGUGUGUGUGUGUGUGUGUGUGUGUGUGUGUGUGUUGGGAAUUGCAUGAAGAGAGCAUGGCAGUUUUGGGGGAAUCUCACAAACAAAGAAGGAGAGCUCAGCAGUAAUUCAGAUGGUCAAGGCUCUAAGCCUGAUGACCUCUGUAUUAUUCCUACAAUAGGUCUAGGCCUGUCACAGGAGAGAGGGCCAUAGAGCACGUCUAGCCUCUCCUUUCCCCCAUACCUUGCUAGGACACUUGUAAAUCUGUUUCUCUUAUCAUCUGCUCCUCUCUUUUGAUAGCCACACUUUUCUUCAAAUAUAUUAAUGCAAGCGGCAUUGCUCUAGCUAAAUCUUGCUGUUGCCAAGAAGUCAUUUAUCUCUUUUAGAUGAUUUUACGUAUUUAUCACUUGUUUUAUUUUUUUAUUUUAUUUUAUUUUAUUUUAUUUUAUUUUAUGGUUUUUAAUCUCAGAGCUGCCUCUUCUUAUUGUUGUUGCUCUGAGUUCUGGAGUCAAGAGACCAGCAACUUAUUAAAACCCCAGUUCUGGACAACAUAGCCAACACAAAGUGUAAAUCUACUAGAAAAAAUAUCUUGCUUUUCUCAUUGUUUGUAUUCCUAUAAUUUCAGUCACAAAACAAGGGACAAAAUAGAAGCUAAAUAAACACUUGAAUAUUUCCUGGGGUCCUUUUGAUGAAAGAAUCUAUAUGAACACUUCAUGCAUUUUUUUUUUAAUGACAAAAGCUUUUGCCCUGUUCUUAAAGUCUAUUAUUGUUGCAUGCCUCUUCUUGGGUUCCAGUGAAUUAAAAUUUGUAGCAACUUAAUCUGUCUCUCUCUAAACACAUUUGUAAUGCUUUGUUUUCUUUAUUCAGUUGUGCUUUGUGUGUCAUAUAUCAUUACACUAUGUUGCAUUUCUUACAGAGAAAAUCUACUGAAAGUGUCUUUUUUUUUAGAAAAGAAAAAUUCUUUAUUACUAUGGCCUAUAGCAAUUAAAGCUUGAAAUUAGAAUUAAGUAUUGUGCAUUGCGAUGCAGACGACCAUAUAGAUAUAUUAACAUUUUG
rnacentral:lncRNA from 1 species